AAGCCGGCUGGCCCCGUGAGGCGGGCGUGGGGGGGGGGUGAUUUGGGUUACGCUUAUGAGGAGCGAAGUUGAAGUGUAUUGGAAACUGUUGCGGAGCGGAGGAGAUGUUUCCGGGGCCAGUCACACGCGGGAAAAGGUGACGGCGAGCAGUGGUUUCUCAAAGCAGUGGUGACGGUGGAGAGCCUGACGCAAUCCAUGAGGUGAAACACUGCGGAGAGAGGAGAGGCACACAAAGGUCCGUGAAGUCGUGUGACGAGAGUGAUUGAAAUGGGGGCUUUCUGGGCAAUUUGCACUGCAAAAUAAAGGCGAAAUCCAUCCGAUGAAUUUUUGACAACAAAUAGAACUUUAGUAAAAACUA